GGCGCAGGCUGGAUAGCCGCCUGCCACAAAGUGUUGGCGGGAGGAAAGUCCGGGCUCCAGAGGGCAGCGUAAUGGGUAACGCCCAUCGUCACGCCCAUCAAAAAUAUGCGUGACAGGAUCAGAGCCACAGAGACUAAUGCCGGAUAAUGCCGGAGUGAAAAGAGACAAUCUCUACGCGGAGCAAAGCCAAAUAGGUCCCGCUUCAAGAGCGGCUCGUUCGAUAUGGCGGGACGGGUAGGCUGCACGAUCAUGCUGGCAACAGCGUGGCAAGAUAGAUGGCUAUCACCUCGCAAGAGGAACAGAACCCGGCUUAUAGGCCUGCGCCUUGU
rnacentral:RNase_P_RNA from 1 species